UACGUAGGUGGCAAGCGUUGUCCGGAUUUACUGGGCGUAAAGAGCGCGCAGGCGGUCGUUCAAGUCGCGUGUGAAAGCCCCCGGCUCAACUGGGGAGGGUCACGCGAUACUGAUCGACUCGAAGGCAGGAGAGGGAAGUGGAAUUCCCGGUGUAGUGGUGAAAUGCGUAGAGAUCGGGCGGAACACCCGUGGCGAAGGCGGCCGACUGGGCCGGCCCUGACGCUGAGGCG
rnacentral:rRNA from 1 species